rnacentral:rRNA from 1 species
UACAGAGGGUGCGAGCGUUGUUCGGAAUUACUGGGCGUAAAGCGCGCGCAGGCGGCCUUUUAAGUCUCGUGGUGAAAUGCCGGGGCUCAACCCCGUGCCCGCCGGAGAUACUGGGAGGCUGGAGACAUGUAGAGGCAAGCGGAAUUCCGGGUGUAGCGGUGGAAUGCGUAGAUAUUAGGAAGAACACCAGUGGCGAAGGCGGCUCACUGGCCCGGUACUGACGCUGAGGCGCGAAAGCGUGGGGAGCAAACAGG